GACCUUCUCCUCGAACGCCGCCACCGUCUCCUCCAGCUCGUCGCACCGUCUGCUCGCUGCCUCCAUAACUGUCUCCGGGCAGCGCCGCCCGCCGGCGACGGCGCACUUCGCCGCCCGCACGGCGGCCGCCGCGGCAUCGAGCUCGGACAUGCACGGCACGCCGUCCUUCCUCCGCCGGUCGUACUCCUCCCUGACGUGCCUCUGCACCUCCUGGAGCGCGCACUCCCACUUCGCCACGGCCUUGCCGCCGGCAGCGCGGUUGGCGACGCCGGACACCGC
rnacentral:lncRNA from 1 species